ensembl:lncRNA
ACUCUCUCCAUUCUGCUUUAUUCUUUUAAAAAGGACGCAGAUAAAAACCGAGUAAUAUAUGAAGUGCGUGGUAUAAAAAUUCUAUGCCGUGCAACAUUACAUGGGUGAUACAGAAAUACAGGAAAUAGAACAGAGAGGACGGCUCAAAGUGCUCCUUGACCUCCUUGCAGUUGACCACUGGGCGCUGUUAGGGUGCACCCUUCUUACCCUCUUCCAGCACGUUUCCAUUUACCUGCAUGAUACACAGACACUGCUUGUUUUUUGUUAGAUGGAAGGGAAACACAUCAAAACAUGGCAUUUGAAUUUUUAAUUAACCUUCUAUUUUGGAUUUUUUUUAAUACAGCUAUAAAACUAAUACAUGUUUGUCAUAAAAAUGUCAAAAUUGAUAGAGGGGUAGAAAAUAAAAUGGUUAAAAAAAAAAAAAACAAAAACCAACACCGUCCUUCCCACUCACUCAGAGCAGAUAAAACACAUCUCUGUGUAACUUUUUGUAAAGACCAUGCAUGUACAAGCGUUUAAAUGCGCACAUCGUUCAUCUGUUCAUUGAGGGAGGGAGGGCUCCGAGAGGUCGCAGGGCAGAUUAAGGUCACAGAGCAAAUGCAGAGGCCGCCUCCUGGAUUUCAGAGGGCAAAAGCCUUUCCACACCGCACGGCUCCCAGGAGUUUGCACGCAGCCGGUCUCAACUGGAGUGUCUAAUCUCUCCAAGCUUCAGUACUUUAGCCACCUGAUGCAAAGAGCUGGCUCAAUGGAAAAGACCCUGAUGCUGGGAAAGAUCGAAAGCAGAAGGAGAAGGGGAGGACAGAGGACGAGACGGUUGGAUGGCAUCACCGACUCAGUGGAUAUGAAUUUGAGCCAGCUCGGGGAGAUGCUGAAGGUCAGGGAAGCCUGAUGUGCGGCAGUCCGUGGGGUCGCAGAGUUGGACACGAUUGAGCGACUUAACAACCACCACCUCCACCUUGUCUGCAAGGCGGCGACACUCCUGAGCACCGCCGGCUCUCAGUGUAUUAACAGACGGCACGUGCUGGGGCUGUCAGAGGGUUUGUGGCUCUGAUGCUGCUGUCCCCUCCAGAGCUGGCGUCACAGCAGAGCAGCGUCGUGGAGCCUGACAAAGCGAUUCGUUCAGUGGGCCUGUGUUCUCGCUUUUGUUCCCCAGAUUACCGUGACAGUUACAAGCGGAGGACGCUUCCCGAGGAGGAUUCUGUUUAAGAAGCCCCUCCCCUGGGGGGGAGCUAUAACCGCGGGAGGCCCUUCCCGUCUACAGGAGGCCCUGGGGCCACAGGCCUGACCGCUGGAAGCUCCCAUCUUGAUGGAGUGGGCGGUACACACCCUAAUAACCCGCCCUGAUCUUGCGCUCACCUGCAGUCCCUUUCUGUUCACCUAGAGGACUGCCAACACCUGGGUGGAAGGAGAAAAUGUCACCCACAAGAUGACUCCAAGUGUCCUCGGAACUCCCCUCACCUGCUGUGUCCCAGGUUCCUCUCUGAUGCCCAGCCCUUUAUAAGAGGUGUCACCAUCAUGGUUGUCACCUUUACCCGUUCUGUGCCCAGCACUUCUAACCCACAGAAAAGAAAGGUAUAUCCUACAAUCCCAUUGGAAAGUGCCUGAUUCCAACCCCCUGAAAGCCGCUUUGGGGAGGAGAGUUUAGACUGUCACAGAAGAGAUGGGACCCAGCAAGACCAGCUGCAAGGUGGAGGACAGGCAGCAGCUGUGAAGUCCCCAGAGGCUCGCAGUGUGGGGCAGAGAGAAAACACACAGCUCAGAUC